rnacentral:RNase_P_RNA from 1 species
GAUGACUGCUGCGCAAGCAGAGGAAAGUCCAUGCUCGCACAGGCUGCGAUGCCUGUAGUGAUUGUGCCGGAUGAAACAAUAAAUCCGGGCAGCGGCAACGCUGACGGCCGCCGAUCUUCCUAAAGGCGCAAGCCCACGGAAUAGGCGAUAACGUGCCAAAGAGACGAGCGCAUGGGAAACCAUGCGGGUGGAACGCGGUAAACCCCUCAAGCGAGAAACUCAAAUUUGGUAGAGGAACCCCGAACUUUGAAAUGAAGGAGGAAAGGGGCGGAAGCAAUUCCGCAGAUAAAUGGUCAUCCCUUAAUAUAAGGACAGAACAUGGCUUACAG